UCUCAGUUCGGAUCGGAGUCUGCAACCCGACUCCGUGAAGCUGGAUUCGCUAGUAAUCGCGCAUCAGCCAUGGCGCGGUGAAUACGUUCCCGGGCCUUGUACACACCGCCCGUCACACCAUGGGAGUCAGUAACGCCCGAAGCCGGUGACCCAACCGAAAGGAGGGAGCCGUCGAAGGUGGGACCGAUAACUGGGGUGAAGUCGUAACAAGGUAUC
rnacentral:rRNA from 1 species